GGCGUCUUACACAUGCAAGUCGUACCAUGGUAACACGUAGGUGGGGAUUAGUGGCGAACGGGUGAGUAACACGUGGGCAAUCUGCCCUGCACUCUGGGACAAGCCCUGGAAACGGGGUCUAAUACCGGAUACUGACCACUGGGGGCAUCUUUGAUGGUCGAAAGCUCCGGCGGUGCAGGAUGAGCCCGCGGCCUAUCAGCUUGUUGGUGAGGUAGUGGCUCACCAAGGCGACGACGGGUAGCCGGCCUGAGAGGGCGACCGGCCACACUGGGACUGAGACACGGCCCAGACUCCUACGGGAGGCAGCAGUGGGGAAUAUUGCACAAUGGGCGAAAGCCUGAUGCAGCGACGCCGCGUGAGGGAUGACGGCCUUCGGGUUGUAAACCUCUUUCAGCAGGGAAGAAGCGAAAGUGACGGUACCUGCAGAAGAAGCGCCGGCUAACUACGUGCCAGCAGCCGCGGUAAUACGUAGGGCGCGAGCGUUGUCCGGAAUUAUUGGGCGUAAAGAGCUCGUAGGCGGCUUGUCACGUCGGUUGUGAAAGCCCGGGGCUUAACCCCGGGUCUGCAGUCGAUACGGGCAGGCUAGAGUUCGGUAGGGGAGAUCGGAAUUCCUGGUGUAGCGGUGAAAUGCGCAGAUAUCAGGAGGAACACCGGUGGCGAAGGCGGAUCUCUGGGCCGAUACUGACGCUGAGGAGCGAAAGCGUGGGGAGCGAACAGGAUUAGAUACCCUGGUAGUCCACGCCGUAAACGGUGGGCACUAUGUGUGGGCAA
rnacentral:rRNA from 1 species